AUCCUCAGGAAGCCCUGAGCGCUGAGAGGCACUGUUACAGAACCGAACUGGGGUCCACUCGCUAGGCCUACCUAGGUGCCUGGAAUUUCCCUUCGAGGAACGCAGGAGUUUUCUUUAUUUUCAUGCUUGGGAAGGCUCAUUAGGCCCCUAAGAGAGGGUCCCUUCCCCAUCUCAGGACUAAAAUGCAAUGAAGAUGUUGCUCAGAGGCAGCUGGAGAGGGAUGGGUCUGUGGAGGAUGCCCCGCAGAGUGAAGUCGAGAUGAUGCAGCCACCAGGGCCGGAGGGCUGGUCUGGAACUCCUGGGUGCAAGCGAUCCUUCCACCUCGGCCUCCCAAAGUGCUGGGAUUAGAGGCAUAAGCCACCGCGCCCAGCCAGGAAUGGAUUUUCUCACAGUUCUCGAUGGCGGAAGUCUGAGAUCAAGCUAAAGACUCUUGAGAAACAGCAGGUGCAAAAAGAUCACAGUGACCUCCAUGCUGUACCUUGAGAUGAAAUUCCAAUGCGAAAGAUGCCCUCUCCACCCUAGAAGGGAAAGCAACAUCCUUAUCUUUGGGAGUGAAAAGUCCAAACUGAGAGCAUACUUGCCUUUCUCUGGAGGGGCUCUGCCAGCAUGAAUUCCUUUACGGGUGGAAGCCUCACAGUCCAGUCUACCAGUGAGGUCCACAUGGGAUUGGCUGGAGGGAGCUACGAAGUCAAGCGGCGUCAGGUACAGAGAAACAAAUCCCACAUCCAAGGGCCAGGAGGCGGUAGAGCAAACCACGCACAGCCGGGUGACUUAAGGGCAAGGAAGUCUUCCUGCAGGAGGUGAAUUUGGCACAAGGGAUACGUUUUUAGGCCCUGAGUGGAGGAUCUGGGUUUCAAACUGGACUUUUGAAAAACACACUCUUAUUGUAGAAGGGCCUGCGGGUUUGUUUUAAUCACUUCUCAAAGCUACGCUAGGCAUUCGCAGCUCAGGAUCCCCAGUUUAGCCUAAUAAAAAAAAGUAAUUACAUCAUAUUACAGAUAAUUUGAUUGUGUCUGAGACGAUAAUUGAGUUAAAACGCUUAUUGUAACAGACACAUCAGAUUGGCAAGGAGGAAGCUCGGCUUAAAUACAAACAGUGUUGAGAGUGGAAUUAAAGGAUUGCCAUUGCAGUUAA
ensembl:lncRNA LINC01532 long intergenic non-protein coding RNA 1532